GGCGGACGGGUGAGUAAUGCCUAGGAAUCUGCCUGAUAGUGGGGGACAACGUUUCGAAAGGAGCGCUAAUACCGCAUACGUCCUACGGGAGAAAGCAGGGGACCUUCGGGCCUUGCGCUAUCAGAUGAGCCUAGGUCGGAUUAGCUAGUUGGUGAGGUAAUGGCUCACCAAGGCGACGAUCCGUAACUGGUCUGAGAGGAUGAUCAGUCACACUGGAACUGAGACACGGUCCAGACUCCUACGGGAGGCAGCAGUGGGGAAUAUUGGACAAUGGGCGAAAGCCUGAUCCAGCCAUGCCGCGUGUGUGAAGAAGGUCUUCGGAUUGUAAAGCACUUUAAGUUGGGAGGAAGGGUUGUAGAUUAAUACUCUGCAAUUUUGACGUUACCGACAGAAUAAGCACCGGCUAACUCUGUGCCAGCAGCCGCGGUAAUACAGAGGGUGCAAGCGUUAAUCGGAAUUACUGGGCGUAAAGCGCGCGUAGGUGGUUUGUUAAGUUGGAUGUGAAAUCCCCGGGCUCAACCUGGGAACUGCAUCCAAAACUGGCAAGCUAGAGUAUGGUAGAGGGUGGUGGAAUUUCCUGUGUAGCGGUGAAAUGCGUAGAUAUAGGAAGGAACACCAGUGGCGAAGGCGACCACCUGGACUGAUACUGACACUGAGGUGCGAAAGCGUGGGGAGCAAACAGGAUUAGAUACCCUGGUAGUCCACGCCGUANACGAUGUCAACUAGCCGUUGGGAGCCUUGAGCUCUUAGUGGCGCAGCUAACGCAUUAAGUUGACCGCC
rnacentral:rRNA from 1 species